rnacentral:rRNA from 1 species
UACGUAGGGCGCAAGCGUUGUCCGGAAUUAUUGGGCGUAAAGAGCUCGUAGGCGGCUUGUCGCGUCGACUGUGAAAACUCGGGGCUCAACUCCGAGCUUGCAGUCGAUACGGGCAGGCUAGAGUUCGGUAGGGGAGACUGGAAUUCCUGGUGUAGCGGUGAAAUGCGCAGAUAUCAGGAGGAACACCGGUGGCGAAGGCGGGUCUCUGGGCCGUAACUGACGCUGAGGAGCGAAAGCAUGGGGAGCGAACAGG